rnacentral:rRNA from 1 species
GGGGAAUUUUGCGCAAUGGGGGAAACCCUGAUCCAGCGACGCCGCGUGUGUGAAGAAGGCCUGCGGGUUGUAAAGCACUUUUAGUGGGGACAAAAAGCCAAGGGCUAAUACCCUUUGGUCUUGAUUUAACCCAAAGAAAAAGCACCGGCUAACUCUGUGCCAGCAGCCGCGGUAAUACAGAGGGUGCAAGCGUUAAUCGGAAUUACUGGGCGUAACGCGUGCGUAGUCGGUUAUCUAAGUCGGAUGUGAAAUCCCCGGGCUCAACCUGGGAAUUGCAUUCGAUACUGGACAGCUAGAGUUCGGCAGAGGGAAGCGGAAUUUCCGGUGUAGCGGUGAAAUGCGUAGAUAUCGGAAGGAACAUCAGUGGCGAAAGCGGCUUCCUGGACCAGAACUGACGAUCAGGCACGAAAGCGUGGGGAGCAAAC